CUCAUCUGGCUUCUUCGAUUGAGGAGUGGGUACAGCUUGGCAGUUGUUACCUUAACCUUGUCGAUGGCUGUUUUUAUGUGCUUCUUCCAGGUCAGCUGCAUACUGAUUGGAGUUUUCAUUAGUUACAGAUAUCUUGAUUACAUUUUUUGCGUCCGAAGCGAUACAAAGCUUGCAUUUAAAGUGCAUCAGCUUUAUGUAUAGUUUACGUUUAACUGAUCAAAGUUAAAAAGCUUGGUUGAUGAAGAAGGUUCUGGUAAUCUCAAAAAAUGGUUGGGGUUUCUUCUUCUGGUGCUAUUGGCGUCCCUGGCAACGCAACAGGUAGCCCAGAAGUAGGGUUAAGUUUUUGUUGUGUUUGUAAACUGAUUUUUAAUAAUACAGUGCUCUAAGCUGUUUAUACUCAUCUCUUGUUGUGUCACACUUUGUGAUCUGUUUGGAGAUGGAUGAGUGCGGCAAUUUAGGCAAGAAACAAUGCGGGUUACAGUAA